UACGAAGGGGACUAGCGUUGUUCGGAAUCACUGGGCGUAAAGCGCACGUAGGCGGAUAUGUCAGUCAGGGGUGAAAUGCCGAGGCUCAACCUCGGAACUGCCUUUGAUACUGGGGAUCUUGAGUCCGGGAGAGGUGAGUGGAACUGCGAGUGUAGAGGUGAAAUUCGUAGAUAUUCGCAAGAACACCAGUGGCGAAGGCGGCUCACUGGCCCGGAACUGACGCUGAGGCGCGAAAGCGUGGGGAGCAAACAGG
rnacentral:rRNA from 1 species